GGACCUCCGUACCCGAGGGUGGGUGCCCCUACCCGAGGGUGGGUGCCUCAGGGGACCUCCCUACCCGAGGAGGGGAGGUGACUCCAGGUGAGGAAGGUAGAUUUCAGA